rnacentral:rRNA from 1 species
CCUACGGGUGGCAGCAGUAGGGAAUCUUUCACAAUGGGCGAAAGCCUGAUGGAGCAACGCCGCGUGCAGGAUGAAGGCCUUCGGGUUGUAAACUGCUUUUAUAAGCGAGAAAUAUGAUGGUAACUUAUGAAUACCGAUCGGCGACCUACGUGCCAGCAGCCGCGGCCAUACGUAGGAUCCGAGCAUUAUCCGGAGUGACUGGGUGUAAUGAGUUGCGUAGGUGGCAUAAUAAGUAGCUAGUGAAAUCUGGUGGCUCAACAAUUCAGACUAUUAGCUAAACUGUUAGGCUCGAGACCGUUAGAGGUAAGUGGAAUGUGUAGUGUAGGAGUGAAAGGCGUAGAUAUUAGGAGGAACACCAAUAGCGUAGGCAGGUUACUGGGACGGUUCUGACACUAAGGCACGAAAGCGUAGGGAGCAAACGGGAUUAGAUACCCUUGUAGUC